CAGUAGCCGCGGUAAUACGUAGGUGGCAAGCGUUGUCCGGAAUUAUUGGGCGUAAAGGGCUCGCAGGCGGUUUCUUAAGUCUGAUGUGAAAGCCCCUGGCCCAGCCGGGGAGGGUCAUUGGAAACUGGGAAACUUGAGUGCAGAAGAGGAGAGUGGAAUUCCACGUGUAGCGGUGAAAUGCGUAGAGAUGUGGAGGAACACCAGUGGCGAAGGCGACUCUCUGGUCUGUAACUGACGCUGAGGAGCGAAAGCGUGGGGAGCGAACAGGAUUAGAUACCCCAGUAGUCCCUGUCUCUUAUAC
rnacentral:rRNA from 1 species